CCAGGCCUGCACAAUUCUCCGCCGGGAGAUUGUAUUGGACCUAUAUGUAUAGGAAAAGAUUAAACAAAGUUUCGGUCAAAUCACCGUCAGACAGCCGUUAUAAACAUGAAUUCAAACCAAGAAGAACAAAGAGAGAAGCUGAUGGAGAUGUUAACAUGUUUUUCUAUGUUCAUCUAUUUCAGAGAGCACUUUUAAAGUUUUACCACCACCUUAUCAGAGUGCUGAAAAGUGGAAGUCAGAGGAAACAUGCCCAACUUGCUGCAAAACAAUAACACAAAAGGUCUGGACUAUGGAGUGCAGCAUUACUUUUUGGUCAUCUACAUUCAGAU